CCAGUUUUGAAGAAGUAACUUCCCUGAAACAUCGACUGUUUUUCACAUCUCAUGCAGAGAUCCGCUCGGUCGUUGUGUGUAUUCCAAGAGAUUUCCUGUAUCUACUAAAUAUCUUCUACCUAAGACUGACCACUCUCAUUUGCAAUGUCGGUGGAUGCAAACGUUUGGUUCGUGGCUCUGCUCGCCGCGUUUUGGCCAGCCACAAAAACAACUUCAGUCGAAGUGGAACAAUUCCCUCCAAACUUAAAAACCUCAAUCGGUGGAAAUGGAUCCAUGUACUGCAAAUUUCCAAUGCUACAAGAUGCUGUUGAAGUUUCGUGGUGGAAGGAGGGUCAGAAGACAGUCUUAGAACCAGACAGCAGAAAUGAGUUCAAUGUAAAGAAAGGCAGCGGCACAUUUACCCUCCUGAAUGUGACAUACUCAGAUGUUGGCGUGUAUUA